rnacentral:rRNA from 2 species
CGGAGCUUGCUCCGGUGAAAGUGGCGCACGGGUGAGUAACGCGUGGAUAAUCUGCCCUGGUAUCUGGGAUAACAUCUCGAAAGGGGUGCUAAUACCGGAUAAGCCCACGGGAUCCUCGGAUUCUGCGGGAAAAGGUGGCCUCUAUUUAUAAGCUACCGUAUCAGGAUGAGUCCGCGUACCAUUAGCUAGUUGGUGGGGUAAUGGCCCACCAAGGCUACGAUGGUUAGCUGGUCUGGGAGGAUGAUCAGCCACACUGGAACUGARACACGGUCCAGACUCCUACGGGAGGCAGCAGUGGGGAAUUUUGCGCAAUGGGCGAAAGCCUGACGCAGCGAUGCCGCGUGAGUGAAGAAGGCCUUCGGGUCGUAAAGCUCUGUCGCAGGGAAAGAAAUGUGCGGGUGCCAAUACCACCUGUACUUGACGGUACCCUGAAAGGAAGCACCGGCUAACUCCGUGCCAGCAGCCGCGGUAAUAC